AGGGCAUAUAAAAUGUGGCAAAAUAAAUUAAAAUGGUUUAGGCCACUUUAGUGAUAAAAGUGCAGUUUUAAGCCCAAUUCAGCCCAGGAGCUUGAGCCUCUGAAUUCCCCAAAGUGGCUUAGUUCAUUUUACUGAUGGAAAACCCAUUUUCAAGUCCAAUUCUCAAUAUAUGAUCUCCCAGUUAAGACGGUACUGGAAAGUUGAUCGUUAUGAGUUGUGUUACGCAAAGUGAUUUAACCAAACCGAAAUCAAAGAGUCCAAAAUCAGCGUGUGGGGAUGAAUGAGGCUACCGCAAAUUCGACAGAAUAAAUAUACAGCGACAACAAUUUUCCACCGCUAAGCAUCUAAAGCAAGAGGGUCUCCCCUAGUAAGGCCACACUUGUUUUAAUACAAUCUCUGCAGAGCACAUCACAUGGACAGCAAACAUCUUCCUCAUAAAAUACUUCAGAACAGAUCAUUUUUCCUGAUCCAAACAAGCAGUGGCCUCAAGUAGAACAGCAAAGAUUACGCUUCUGUUUGAUAGCUAAUCUCGCAGGUAAGUCCCACCUGGCCUGCAGUUCUUCAAAACAAUCGAGUGGAACGCCAAUAUCAUGUAAAUGUAGUCUGGAUUGAGACUGAGGAUCAAGGUAUCCAAAAGUCCAAACUUCCCAAGGUCAAGAGUGGUCACCAAUAUCAGAGGAAUUGGUUGAGACGACAGAAGGCAGGUGUAGUUCAUAGAUUGCCUUGUUUCCUUCACUAUAACUACCUAUGCAUAUUGUGUCACCCCGACCAUGCCAGGUGCCAUCUUGGACAUUGUUCAUCUCCAAUGUUCUGGACUCCUGGGAUAACGCACAGCAGGAGCAGAAAAUAUGGUAGACGCAAUCAUCCAGGGAACUAUCACUACCCCUGAUAUUAAAUUUCUUUCUCAUCUGUGUGCGGAAGAAACUCAAAUACAUUCCUAUUGAAAUAAUAAAAGCAACUGCCAAAUAUAGAAAGCAACGCCGCUUGGUGAUUAUGAAGGCAAUGAAGUUGAGGAGCGCGCUAAGAGCAAGAAUGUAAUAUACAGUUCCCUGAAGAAAACAAGAACCAAACCCAGCUCGUCUCAUGUUCUUCCCAAAUCUGUAGCAUGGACAACAAAGGGAUUCAAUAGCGAUGCGGCGGUCAUCGAAGCAAUUAAGGACUUCUCCUUCCCACAUCCUAAAAACACCACCAAAUUCCGCUCCAAUAGCAGCGUUAGCAUCAAAAUCUGCAGUUUCUAGUUUCUUCCAUUUCCCUUGAGUCUGCAACGCCACCGUCGAACACAACACAUCAAAAUCCAAGACUGUCAUUCCCUCCACAAGCCUAUCCUUCUCCUGCUCCUCCACAUCCACCACAGCCAUCUUUCCAUCCACCACCUGACUCUCCAAAUCCCCCAUCUCAAAACUCAACUAGGGUUCCCUUUCACUUUCCCUGUGCGCCCUCUCCUUCACGUGUACCUGAAAAAAAGCACCUUCCAUUUUAUCAGAAGCAGAAAUGUAUCAUUUUUAUAUCAAGGCUGGC
rnacentral:misc_RNA from 1 species